rnacentral:lncRNA from 1 species
AUGAGUGCAAUAAAGAACAAAAUGGAAAAAGAGAGGGAUAAGGAAAAGGAAAAAAGAGGGAUCGGGAGGAAGGACUCACUUACUGAUGAGUAUACCCUAAAAGAUGUAAUGUUUGAGAUUUUAAAAUUGCAAACAGAGGUAAUUAAAAUGCAAGAAAAACAAGAUAUACAAUUUAACAGAGUCAAAGAGGAGAUGACGAACAUGAGGAAAGAGAUGAAAGAAGAAAUACAAACAUUAGUAAAAGAGGAAAUUGGCAAAUUGAGGGAGGAAUUGGAAAUAACGAAACAAGAGGGAGUGAUGAGAGCUGAAGAGAAUAGAGUGAUCCAUAACAACCAAAUAGAAAUGAGUAAGGAAAUGAAAAUAAUUGAGAAAGAGUUAAAAGCAAUUAAAAACCAACAGGAAAUUAUAGAAAUAAAAGAGAAGGAAACGCAGUUAAGAUUGCGCAAUGUGCAGGAAACAGAAAUUGAAGAUAUCAGAGAAAUAUGUACUGAAAUAAUAGCUGAGAUAACUAAAAAAACGAAGGAAGAGGCAGAUUGUGAAAUAGAGAGAGCAUACAGGGUAUACUCUAUUCACUCAAAAAAAUUCAACACCCCAAGGGAUAUUGUGGUCCAUCUCAAUAAGAAGAGAGUAAGGGACGAAAUACUAUUAAAUAACUCAAAGAUGCCAACCAUGUAUAAAGGGGAAAGAAUAGCGAUUUUAAAAGAAUUUCCAAUUUCAGUAUUAGAGAGAAGACGCAAAUAUUAUUUCCUAACCGACGAUUUAAGAAAAAGGAACAUCAAAUUUAGAUGGGAAAAAACAGAGGGUCUGAUGCUAACGUGGGAGGGGAAUAGAAAAUGGAUAACAAAUGAACAAAGUGCUAAGGCAUUCUUUGACAAAUAUCUGAAAAAAGAAAAAAAGGAAGAAAGGAAAGAGGACUAUAAAGAUCAAGGAAAGAGUGAGGAAGAUCAGAGAGGUGACGGGUCUUUAGAUGAUAAGGAUGAGAUGGGGAGAUUGAAAAAAAGACUCAGAGAAAAAUCACCAGAGGACUUGAUCAACCUAAUAACUUAA